rnacentral:rRNA from 1 species
ACGAACGCUGGCGGCGUGCUUAACACAUGCAAGUCGAACGGAAAGGCCCUGCCUUUGUGGGGUGCUCGAGUGGCGAACGGGUGAGUAACACGUGAGUAACCUGCCCUUGACUUUGGGAUAACUUCAGGAAACUGGGGCUAAUACCGGAUAGGAGCUCCUGCUGCAUGGUGGGGGUUGGAAAGUUUCGGCGGUUGGGGAUGGACUCGCGGCUUAUCAGCUUGUUGGUGGGGUAGUGGCUUACCAAGGCUUUGACGGGUAGCCGGCCUGAGAGGGUGACCGGCCACAUUGGGACUGAGAUACGGCCCAGACUCCUACGGGAGGCAGCAGUGGGGAAUAUUGCACAAUGGGCGGAAGCCUGAUGCAGCAACGCCGCGUGCGGGAUGACGGCCUUCGGGUUGUAAACCGCUUUCGCCUGUGACGAAGCGUGAGUGACGGUAAUGGGUAAAGAAGCACCGGCUAACUACGU